ensembl:lncRNA
UGAUAUUUUCUUCUAUCUAUUUAAAAGGCUUCUAUUUCAUAUAUUUUGCUAAUAUUUUAAUAUUUUUGUUCUGUUUAUUUAAAAAGGUUCUAUUUGAUAUAUUUUGUUGAUAUUUUAAUAUUUCUGUUCUGUUUAAUAUGUCACCCCCCCCCCCCCCCCCCCCCAUUUAUUUAAAGGGUCCUCUUUCAUACUCUCACACGACUUUAAAGUCAUAAACGUCCCAUUAAAAAUCCUAUAUAAUAGUCCUCGUUAAAAUAUUACUGCUUGAAAUGAUCUCUUCAAAAACAACAACAGUAUGACAAGCGGCGUGAGGAACAUCAGUAUAAUAAUUCUGUUCGGGUUCACGCUGUCGAAUCAUGAAGGAAGUUCACACAGCGGUGCACUUUAUAAGAGUAACUUUAUAAUAAGGUAUAAACAAAUUUGAAAAAAUGCUUACACUGUUCCUGAACGACUUAUAAAUCAGUUUUGUCGAGGUGUUUCUGCUUUUGUGUGUGUGUGUGUGUGUGUGUGUGUGUUGUUUUUUUUCUGGCUGAAGGUGAAGCAACAGCAGGAAGUCUGUUAUUUAACUAAUCCUUUUAAACGUUUCCUUUUGCGCAAAAAAAAACCCCAAAAAACAAAAGAAAACAGACCAGGAUGAAAACCAGCCAGGAGACAUAGCGUGGUUUAUUUGUUGCUGAUUUUUUUUUUUCAUGGUGUCGUUAUUACAGCAAAAAUAAUCAAUCAAACCGACACGUGUUUUCCAGGCGUGUUUGGUGGUCGAGCUUCGUUAGGAGCGCUGUCCAGAUGUCCAGGUUUAUGGAGCUAACAAGUAACGGCGGGUAUCGAGCGAGUCGAAACGUAUCCCGGAUAGCACAGCGACGUCAGUGAGGUGACGUGACGGAUACCGGUUUCUCACGAGGAGUGGAAUCCAAUGUGAUCUUCGGCUGUUGUAGCUCAUCCACCUCAGUGUUUGAUGUUCUGUGCACGCGGAGAUGCUUUUCUGUUCACCACGGCGGUAAAGAUCGAUUAUAUGAGUUGCUAUAUCCUUCCUGGCAGCUCGAAUCAACCUGGCCAUUUUCCUCUGCAGACUGCUGCGUGUGAACAUCCCAGGAGAUCAACAGUUUCUGAAAUACUCAGACCAGCCCGUCUGAUACCACCAUCCCGACCAUCCCACGGUUCCAUUCUGAUGUUUGAUGUGAACGUUAACUGAAGCUUUGACCUGGAUCUGCGUGAUUAUUUAUGCACUGCGCUGCUGCUACAUGAUUGGCUGAUUGGAUAACUGCAUGAAUCGGCAGCUAUAGGCGUUCCUAAUAAAGUGGACGGCGAGCGUGCAAAACGGAUGCAGACGUAUAGAUCGAGGCGUCAAAAGAUUUGUAUACAUGCGUCUAUUAUGCAUUUAUUAUACAAAUAUUUAUAUUGUUUCGUUUUUUAUAAUUUACUUAGUUAAUAUUUAGUUUUGGAGAAAAUGUAUUGUCUAUAUAUAUAUAUAUAUAUAUAUAUAUAUAUAUAAAACACUAUAAAGAGUGAUAAAUAUAAAGAUUUAAAUAAAGAAAGCCAUAAAACUGAUUCAGUCCAAAAUCACACACACACACACACACACACACACACACACACACACGCA